CUACGGGUUGCUCCAGUGGGGAAUAUUGGACAAUGGGGGAAACCCUGAUCCAGCAAUGCCGCGUGUGUGAAGAAGGCCUGCGGGUUGUAAAGCACUUUCGGUUGGGAGGACUGCUUCUAGCACUAAUAUUGUUGGAAGUUGACGUUACCUUCAGAAGAAGCACCGGCUAACUCCGUGCCAGCAGCCGCGGUAAUACGGAGGGUGCAAGCGUGAAUCGGAAUUACUGGGCGUAAAGCGCGCGUAGGCGGCUAGAUCAGUCGGGUGUGAAAGCCCCGGGCUUAACCUGGGAACUGCAUCCGAUACUGUCUAGCUUGAGUACAGGAGAGGAGAGUGGAAUUCCACAUGUAGCGGUGAAAUGCGUAGAUAUGUGGAGGAACACCAAUGGCGAAGACAGCUCUCUGGCCUGAUACUGACGCUGAGGUGCGAAAGCGUGGGGAGCAAACAGGAUUAGAUACCCGGGUAGUC
rnacentral:rRNA from 1 species